GGGAUAACAGUUGGAAACGACUGCUAAUACCGCAUAAGCGCACGGUAUCGCAUGAUACAGUGUGAAAAACUCCGGUGGUAUAAGAUGGACCCGCGUCUGAUUAGCUUGUUGGUGAGGUAACGGCCCACCAAGGCGACGAUCAGUAGCCGGCCUGAGAGGGUGAACGGCCACAUUGGGACUGAGACACGGCCCAAACUCCUACGGGAGGCAGCAGUGGGGAAUAUUGCACAAUGGGGGAAACCCUGAUGCAGCGACGCCGCGUGAGUGAUGAAGUAUUUCGGUAUGUAAAACUCUAUCAGCAGGGAAGAUAAUGACGGUACCUGACUAAGAAGCACCGGCUAAAUACGUGCCAGCAGCCGCGGUAAUACGUAUGGUGCAAGCGUUAUCCGGAUUUACUGGGUGUAAAGGGUGCGUAGGUGGUAUGGCAAGUCAGAAGUGAAAGGCUGGGGCUCAACCCCGGGACUGCUUUUGAAACUGUCAAACUAGAGUACAGGAGAGGAAAGCGGAAUUCCUAGUGUAGCGGUGAAAUGCGUAGAUAUUAGGAGGAACACCAGUGGCGAAGGCGGCUUUCUGGACUGAAACUGACACUGAGGCACGAAAGCGUGGGGAGCAAACAGGAUUAGAUACCCUGGUAGUCCACGCCGUAA
rnacentral:rRNA from 1 species